rnacentral:misc_RNA from 1 species
UAAAUAUAUAGUCUUUGUGGGUUUUUUCCCUUCUUUUCGCUCUCUUUCUUUCUUUAUUAUUCUUCUAAUUCUUAACAUGGUAUUAUAGUAGGUCAGAGCUUGGUUUUAGUUUUAAUUCAAUUUCCCAGUGUUACUGUUGUGUUUCAAGUUUAGGUUUUAAGUGUUAAUUGGAUGUCCUAAUUGCCACUUGAGGGAGUGUUAGAAUAUAACUUGUGGUAACAAGUCCCACAUCAGGAGUGUGUAAGAAAAUUAAAGGGCAUA